GUCUCUGUGGCGCAAUCGGUUAGCGCGUUCGGCUGUUAACUGAAAGGUUGGUUGUUCAAGCCCACCCAGGGACG
rnacentral:tRNA from 2 species